CCAAGCUUCAUCGGAGACCCUGGAGAGAAAAGCAGCUCCAAUUACAAAUUUUAUGAGUAAGCAGGUAUUAAAGAGAACAAGUAUUAUGAUUUAUAUCUAGGCUACAAAUGAGGAGUUCAGGAUCGAACUCAGAAUGCAAAAAGCAUCACUGUAGCAGUCAGGGCUUGAUCAGAAGAUAAAAUAAGGCGGCAUUUUAUUAUAAGGACUUGAUCUUAUGCAAUUGAGAAGGCAGGACAGAUG